GACGAACGCUGGCGGCGUGCCUAACACAUGCAAGUCGAACGGAACUGUUUUGAAAGUUUUCUUCGGAAUGAAUUUGAUUUAGUUUAGUGGCGGACGGGUGAGUAACGCGUGAGUAACCUGCCUUCAAGAGGGGAAUAACAUUCUGAAAAGAAUGCUAAUACCGCAUGACAUAUCGGAACCACAUGGUUUUGAUAUCAAAGAUUUUAUCGCUUGAAGAUGGACUCGCGUCCGAUUAGUUAGUUGGUGAGGUAACGGCUCACCAAGACCGCGAUCGGUAGCCGGACUGAGAGGUUGAACGGCCACAUUGGGACUGAGACACGGCCCAGACUCCUACGGGAGGCAGCAGUGGGGGAUAUUGCGCAAUGGGGGCAACCCUGACGAAGCAACGCCGCGUGAAGGAUGAAGGUUUUCGGAUUGUAAACUUCUUUUAUUAAGGACGAAAAAUGACGGUACUUAAUGAAUAAGCUCCGGCUAACUACGUG
rnacentral:rRNA from 1 species